ACAGAUAGAGAUGCGUUAAGUACCAGAAUGAAUCACGCACACAUACAGCUAGCAUAUAGCAUCUUGCUCGUCCCUGCAAAACACAAGUCCAUGCAUCAGCAGAUCUUCGACAAAACAUUCCGUGCGUUCCAACAGACGGCCUUCACUAAACUUGGCACGUGACCUUCAACUAUUACCAAUAGGUAUUAUACAUAUACUGUUACAUAAGCUAUUCCUGAAUUAUUAUUUCCAUCGUGGGUGUUGAAUAGAUACUAAAGUCCGGAUUUAGAAUAAGGAUUUUAAGAACGGGCAUUGCUGAUAUACUAUUAUAAACUUUAAUUAUAAAAGGAUAUAUUAAAAACUAGAUCCAGACAUUUUAUCAGCUCAUUUAAUAGUAUUACAAUACACCAGCGGAAAGCGAGAAGGGGGUACCGCUAAGUCAACUGUUGAUCAUUAGCACGAAAUAUUGUUUUGGGUGGUUUGGAGAAGAAUGUCGUCUGUCACCAUGCUGAUGUUGACGAUCUUCGGGAUUUUGGUCAACAUGGCAUUAGCCUUCAUCGACCCUACUCAAGACGCAAAUUUUUUGCCUUCUGGCCAUACGUCUGCUGUUGAGUUUAUGAAUAUGAUAGAGAAUCGCAGCCUUGUCGACCAGAGAAUCCGGCCCAACCAUAAUGGUCCACCAGUUAUAGUUAAAUGUCAGGUGUUUAUAAGCAGCUUUGGUUCAAUAAGUGAGGUUAACAUGGAUUACUCGCUGGAUUUUUUCUUGAGGCAAGAAUGGAAUGACCCACGCCUACAAUAUGAGGGUGGAAAACAGCGCUAUAUAACAUUAACAUCUGAAAGCAUCAAGAAUAUCUGGACCCCGCCACUUUAUUUCCCAAACGAGAAGAAGGGCGAGCUUCAUACAAUGAUCAUUCCCAAUAAGCUGAUUAGGGUAACCCCCAAUGGGACUGUCACCUAUAGCAUCAGGUUGACUUUAGUCCUGUCCUGCCCUAUGCUCCUCACAGACUUUCCACUGGAUACCCAGGAAUGUGCCUUGAACAUUGAAAGCUUUGUCUAUGAGUCCGACGACAUUGAAUUGCAAUGGCAACCAGACCAUAGCCUUAAGAAUCAGGGAGUCGAAAUCCCAAGUACUGUAGGCUUGGCACAAUUCAAAAUAGAUGAUGUAAAAGUAUCGAGUAGAAAUCGAAGCUACUCGAGGACAGGAAGUUUUUCCUCGUUGAGAGCAGUGUUUCAUUUAAAGAGACAGAUAGGAUACUACCUGUUGCAGACUUAUAUACCGUCGAUGCUGAUCGUAAUACUCUCUUGGGUGGCGUUCUGGAUUAAUAAAGAGGCUGUACCUGCAAGAAUAGCACUCGGUAUCACUACAGUCCUCACUAUGACCACACAGCUAACAGGCUCUAGACAAGGGGUACCAAGGGUGUCUUACCCUAAAGCUAUGGACGUGUGGAUGGCAGCAUGCAUGUUAUUUGUGUUCCUUGCCCUGUUAGAAUACGCCGUUGUCAAUGUUAUGUCCACGGUUGAAAAAGAUAAGCAGGCAAGGCAUAGAGAUAUAGAAACUGGAAAGAAGGGUAAUAAGAAAAGAGACCGUAGCUCAGUAUUGGCUUAUAACAAGGGAAGGGGUUGUACAGCGCAAUAUGUCGACAACUGCUCACGUAUCAUAUUCCCUGUCUUCUUUGUCAUCUUCAACUGCGCCUACUGGGCCGUGUAUACUGCAGAAUUCCAGACUAUGAUCGUAGAUGCAUUCAACAAGAUCAAGGGAGAGGAGUAACUUAUACUAGCCCAGGGGGCGCUCUGGGUUAUGAUAUCAAACACCCGGAUGUGAUAGAGCUCAAGAGUCUCCCCGGGAUUGUGCAAUUGAUAAACCUUAAUGUUAUACCAUCUUUACGCCCCGGGGAGCCAAGCCUCUAAAAAUGAUUGAGUACAGUUAAGACAAUUUAGCAACUUUUCCCAGCAUAAUAUACUGUAUCGAUGAAAUAUGCCCAUCUAAAACUGAACGAAGUAACUAAACAUCUCAAUUCAUCCAGACGGAUGGAACAAUUCAUUUGAAUUUUUAUGUCACCAACACAAGCGUUGGCAUAUUGUUAUGGUCUCCAACUUUUUGUGGAUGGCAUUGGGCGUCUGUAACAGCGAUUGGCGUAG
rnacentral:misc_RNA from 1 species